GGGAUGCUACAAAACUACAAAGGUUGCCCGAAAUGAGUGGAUUGGAAAGCUUCCCUUUGUUUGGAAAUCCAAACACGACAUGCGGGAACUUCGGAGUUCUUGAGAGUGGAACUGUGUAGUACCAAACACAGGAUAAUCGUGCAAAAUAGAGCCUCUUAUCUCGGUUCUCACAGGGCAACAUCUGGGUCCAAUCUUCGCUGGAUGGCAGCUGCAGCCUCAAAGUUUCCAAGUUUAUACUGGUAAGCCAUCUCCUCCCUGAGUCGAGCUUGUUCUUUCAUUGCUUGGGCCAUUCCAGUCUGCAUAGAGCGCUUCAAGGCUUCCACUUGUUCUUCCUUGUGCUUUUCACGUUCUAUGAGUAGUUCUUGCCUCCUCUGUUCUUCAUCAUCAAACACAGUGCGUUCCCCUGCCAAAACCUUUUUGUGGCCUUUCUUCAUAUCUUUUUGUAUUUUACGCUGGUAAUAGGCAUCAAGAUUGUAGUACUUUUUGGAUGGAAAAGUGGCCGUGUUAUGGUCCUCCAU
rnacentral:misc_RNA from 1 species